AGAGUUUGAUCAUGGCUCAGGAUAAACGCUGGCGGCGUGCCUAAUACAUGCAAGUCGAACGAGCAAUAACUAGCUUGCUAGUUGGCGCGAGUGGCGAACGGGUGAGUAAUACGUAAGCAACCUGCCUACAAGGACUGGGAUAACUCCUGGAAACGGGCGCUAAUACCGGAUAGGUAAUGAUAGGGCAUCCUAACAUUAUUAAAGGUUUGAAAUACAAGUAGAUGGGCUUACGGUGCAUUAGCUUGUUGGUGAGGUAACGGCCCACCAAGGCGAUGAUGCAUAGCCGGCCUGAGAGGGUGAACGGCCACAUUGGGACUGAGACACGGCCCAGACUCCUACGGGAGGCAGCAGUAGGGAAUUUUCGGCAAUGGGCGCAAGCCUGACCGAGCAACGCCGCGUGAGUGAUGAAUGUCUUCGGAUUGUAAAGCUCUGUUGUAAGGGAAGAACUGCCAGGAUAGAAUCUUGGAAUGACGGUACCUUACCAGAAAGCCACGGCUAACUACGUGCCAGCAGCCGCGGUAAUACGUAGGUGGCGAGCGUUAUCCGGAAUUAUUGGGCGUAAAGGGUGCGCAGGCGGCCUUUUAAGUUAAUGGUGAAAGCGUGGGGCUCAACCCCAUACAGCCAUUGAUACUGGGAGGCUAGAGUACUAGAGAGGGAAGUGGAAUUCCAUGUGUAGCGGUAAAAUGCGUAGAUAUAUGGAGGAACACCAGUGGCGAAGGCGGCUUCCUAGCUAGAAACUGACGCUCAGGCACGAAAGCGUGGGGAGCAAAUAGGAUUAGAUACCCUAGUAGUCCACGCUGUAAACGAUGAAUGCUAAGUGUUGGAGUAAUUCAGUGCUGCAGUUAACGCAAUAAGCAUUCCGCCUGUGGAGUAUGCACGCAAGUGUGAAACAUAAAGGGAUUGACGGGGGCCCGCACAGCGGUGGAGUAUG
rnacentral:rRNA from 1 species